AAUCACCUUGCCGUCGCGCAGGUUGAUGAGAUGGUCGUGAUGACUCUCCGGCACCUGCUCGUAGCGGGCGCGGCCUUCGCGGAAAUCGUGACGCUCGAUGAUGCCGGCGUCUUCGAACAGCUUGACGGUGCGAUAGACCGUCGAAAUCGAGAUCUUGUCGUCGACUGCAACGCAGCGCCGGUAAAGUUCCUCGACGUCGGGAUGAUCCAUGGCCUCA
rnacentral:misc_RNA from 1 species